rfam:Triticum aestivum genome assembly, contig: Triticum_aestivum_CS42_TGACv1_scaffold_329159_4BS
CUAAUACUCCCUCCGUCCGAAAUUAUUUGUCACAGAAAUGGAUGUAUCUAGACGUAUUUUAAUUGCAAAUACAUCCAUUUUAUCCACUUUUGAGACAAAUAAUGUGGAAUGGAGGGAGUAUAUG